GGGGCCUGUGCUUCCAGCGGGUGGUGGGGGGCCUGGUGUGCUGGCAUCAAGUAAGCCGACUACCUCGGCAAAGGCUUAGGGACAAGAGACCAGCAGCCUGAACUGGCUGGGGCAUCCGGAAGGCUUAGAUCUUGUGGCCAAGAGUUCAGACCGUGGCGAAGUGGAGAGUGACAUGCAGUUGGAUGGCGGUGACUGCGUGGUAUGGAAGAAAAUUCAGCUGAAAUUUGCUAGAAAAUGAGUUGUUUUGGAAAGAGACUGUAGAGAAAGGCAAAUGGAAGAAGAAAGCUUCUGUGCCCCCACAGAUACCGACUGAAAAGUGUUAGCAUGAGCAAAAGUUCCUAUCUAAUAUUAUAUGCUUUCCUUUGCUCCCAGGUCCUGCAACCCUGGUUCCAGUCUGGCAAGCAUUGUAGACCUGGCUGCUGAAGACUGACGGGGCCCAGGGUCCGCUGCCCCCACCGCCAUCACCACCUCGGAACCCAGGGUAACGCUGUCAGUCUUUGAUGAUGUCAGAAGUGGGAUCCAAAGUAGAGCUUAUAAUGACACCUAGGAGUGCUGAGUGACCAAGCAAGGUACCCACCAGGCCGAUUAUGUCCAUUGUUCUCUUGGAGCAGCUGGUCAUCAUGAUCAGAUCUUCUGAGAACAUCAGAAAAAGACUUCCCUUGCCAUCCACACUGCAGCAAAACUUCAGGACCUUAAAUGCUGGGUUCAUAAUUUCACAACUGAGAAGGGACCCUCCACACUCUUGGAACUGUACACCUAGACCAAACUAAAAUACAGUCACUCUUGCUAAAUGUAACAUAAUCAAACUAAGACUUUAAGGAAACAAGCAAAUCCUAGAAAAGACCAGGUUUUUGUAUUUUUUUUCCUCCUGUAAACAGUACCUUCCAACAUAAGGAGGUACCCUCUACUCUAACACUUACAAAAAUAAUAAGAAUAAUAACCUGGAGUCCUUGUAAGGUGAAACCUUACAAAACCCACUGCUCUGCUGUUUCCUAGUGGGUUUCAAGAGGAAAUAAGUACUUUUACAGUGGUGAUGGUGAAAUCAAUGACUAACAUUUUGGUCAAUCUCCCACAAUUUAGAGAAUGACCAAAACGGGGGAAUUGUUAAAUCAAGUUUAUCCUAAAUUGAUGGGAUCAAUCAUACUCCAAACCUUGACACUGCACAAUAUACCCAUGUAACAAACCUACACAUGUACCUCCUGAAUCUAAAAUAAAAGUUGAAAUUCUAAAAAAUGAAAUUAUUCUGGAGCUUUAAGAUUCAAUGCCUCUCUGCUGGGUUUUAUACUUGCUUAGAACCUCUUACUUCUUUCUUUCUUUGAUUCAUUUCUCCCUUUUGGAAUGGAAAUGUCUAAACUAUGUGCAUUCCACCAUUUUAUCUCAGAACUAAAUAACUUUUUUUAUAGGCUCAUAACUGGACUUUGGUCUUUUAAGUUGGUGCUGAAACAAGUUAAGACUUUAGAGACUGAUGGAAUUAUUGUAUUUUGUAUUCGAGAAGAACAUGACUUUUAGGGGGCCAGGAACAGAAUGCUAUGGUUUGGGUAUAGUUUGUUCUGUUGAAACUCGUGUUGGAAUUUGAUUUCCAAUGUUGCACUGUUGGGAGGAGGAUUCCAGUGGGAGGCAUUUGAGCUAUGGGGGUGAAUCCCUCAUUAAUACACUAAUACCUUUUCAUGGGGAUGAAUGAGUUCUCCCUCUCAUGGGAAUGGACUAGUUUCUAAGAUAUUGUGAUGGCAAAAUAUUCUGGCUCCUUUAGUUUCUAUAUCUUGCUUCCUCUGUUGCCAUGUGCUCCUUUGCACACACACUCUCCUGUUCCUCUUUCCACCAUGAGUGCUAGCCAUACCUUUCCUAUUCCUUUCCUCCUAUAACCUGUCUUGCCAUGCUUCAAGUCUGAAACCCUCAUCAGAUGCAGCUGUCCAAUCUUGAACUUUUCACCC
ensembl:lncRNA LINC01278 long intergenic non-protein coding RNA 1278